rfam:Oryza sativa (indica cultivar-group) chromosome 5, whole genome shotgun sequence.
UUUAAAUGCAGCCAGCCAUGAUUUUUCAUACUAGUUGAUCGUCCGUUUUAUUUUUAAAUGUUUUACAUAAGUCACGCAUAAAGUAUUAUUCAUAUUUUAUCAUCUCAUAACAAUAAAAUACUAAUUAUAAAAAUAAAAUAAGACGAACGAUUAAAGUUAAGCACGAAAACUCAUGUUUGUAUUUAAA